rnacentral:rRNA from 1 species
CCUACGGGUGGCAGCAGUGAGGAAUUUUGCGCAAUGGCCGCAAGGCUGACGCAGCAACGCCGCGUGGGUGAUGAAGGCCUUCGGGUCGUAAAGCCCUGUCAGGUGGGAAGAAAGGCCUGGAGAGGAAAGGAUUCAGGUUUGACGGUACCACCAGAGGAAGCACCGGCUAACUCCGUGCCAGCAGCCGCGGUAAUACGGAGGGUGCGAGCGUUAUUCGGAAUUACUGGGCGUAAAGCGCGUGUAGGCGGGGGGACAAGUCUGAUGUGAAAGCCCUGGGCUUAACCUGGGAAGCGCAUUGGAAACUGUUUUUCUUGAGUACUGGAGAGGAAGGGGGAAUUCCCGGUGUAGAGGUGAAAUUCGUAGAGAUCGGGAGGAAUACCAGUGGCGUAGGCGCCCUUCUGGACGGUAACUGACGCUGAGACGCGAAAGCGUGGGGAGCAAACAGGAUUAGAUACCCCUGUAGUC